CUGACACGCAAAGACAAAGGAACACGUUUGAAAGUAGGAUGCAUGCAAGUUAGUGGUAGAUCCAAGAAGUACCUGUACCCGUUUGCUGAGACACAGCUCGUCACGGGAAACCCUGAAGAAAACAACGGUUCGCUCCCUGCCUCUCAAGCGGCCAUCACAUCGACAUGCACGUUGCUAUCAUCAUCAUUUUCAUCCUCUGCAGUUUAGAAGCGGUACUGGUGGCAGGUGUCAUGUGUAGAUAUCCUCAUGACUGUUCCCAUCGGAAUGUGGAAGUGGAUUGCCAGUAUGGCCGGGAGUGGACGUGGUACCGCGACGGUAACACAUGUGUGAAACGUCGACGGUGGAAGUGUGGAUCAGGUUGCAACUCUUUCAACUCAGAAGGCCAAUGUGAAACAUCCUGCAAGUCCAUCUGGUGGUGGUGCAAGUGAGACGAAGAUCACCAACAGACGGCCACACCUGCCGUCGAAUCAUGGUGGAGAUUAAUAAAACGUAUUAACCGAG